rnacentral:misc_RNA from 1 species
AGCAGCCGCGGUAAUUCCAGCUCCAAUAGCGUAUAUUAAAGUUGUUGCAGUUAAAAAGCUCGUAGUUGAAUUUCGGGAUCAAUAUGUCGGUCGUGCCUUCGGUACGUACUGGUAUCAUUGGUCUCUCCUUUCUGACGAACCAUGAUGUCAUUAAUUUGGUGUUAUGGGGAGUUAGGACUGUUACUUUGAAAAAAUUAGAGUGUUUAAAGCAGGCUUUAGCUUGAAUACAUUAGCAUGGAGUAAUGAAAUAGGACGUUCGAACCUAUUUUGUUGGUUUCUAGGAUCAACGUAAUGAUUAAUAGGGAUAGUUGGGGGCAUUAGUAUUCAAUUGUCAGAGGUGAAAUUCUUGGAUUUAUUGAAGACUAACUACUGCGAAAGCAUUUGCCAAGGAUGUUUUCAUUAAUCAAGAACGAAAGUUAGGGGAUCGAAGACGAUCAGAUACCGUCGUAGUCUUAACCAUAAACUAUGCCGACUAGGGAUCGGAUGAUGUUAAUUUUUUAAUGACUCAUUCGGCGCCUUA